rnacentral:rRNA from 1 species
AGUGAACGCUGGCGGUAGGCCUAACACAUGCAAGUCGAACGGCAGCACAGUAAGAGCUUGCUCUUACGGGUGGCGAGUGGCGGACGGGUGAGGAAUACAUCGGAAUCUACUUUUUCGUGGGGGAUAACGUAGGGAAACUGACGCUAAUACCGCAUACGACCUACGGGUGAAAGCAGGGGUUCUUCGGACCUUGCGCGACUGAAUGAGCCGAUGUCGGAUUAGCUAGUUGGCGGGGUAAAGGCCCACCAAGGCGACGAUCCGUAGCUGGUCUGAGAGGAUGAUCAGCCACACUGGAACUGAGACACGGUCCAGACUCCUACGGGAGGCAGCAGUAGGGAAUAUUGGGCAAUGGGCGCAAGCCUGAUCCAGCAAUGCCGCGUGGGUGAAGAAGGCCUUCGGGUUGUAAAGCCCUUUUGUUGGGAAAGAAAAACAGCGGAUUAAUACCCCGCUGUUCUGACGGUACCCAAAGAAUAAGCACCGGCUAACUUCGUG